ensembl:snRNA U6 U6 spliceosomal RNA
AUGCUCGCUUUGGCAGCACAUAUACUAAAACAAGAAAGAUCCAGAGAAGAUUAGAAUGCCCCACGCACAAGGAUGGCUGUUCUCUGGGCAGACGUAAAUGGUGUCA